AUUGAACGCUGGCGGCAGGCCUAACACAUGCAAGUCGGGCGGAUGAAGGGAGCUUGCUCCUGGAUUCAGCGGCGGACGGGUGAGUAAUGCCUAGGAAUCUGCCUGGUAGUGGGGGAUAACGUCCGGAAACGGGCGCUAAUACCGCAUACGUCCUGAGGGAGAAAGUGGGGGAUCUUCGGACCUCACGCUAUCAGAUGAGCCUAGGUCGGAUUAGCUAGUUGGUGGGGUAAAGGCCUACCAAGGCGACGAUCCGUAACUGGUCUGAGAGGAUGAUCAGUCACACUGGAACUGAGACACGGUCCAGACUCCUACGGGAGGCAGCAGUGGGGAAUAUUGGACAAAGGGCGAAAGCCUGAUCCAGCCAUGCCGCGUGUGUGAAGAAGGUCUUCGGAUUGUAAAGCACUUUAAGUUGGGAGGAAGGGCAGUAAGCUAAUACCUUGCUGUUUUGACGUUACCAACAGAAUAAGCACCGGCUAACUUCGUG
rnacentral:rRNA from 1 species